rnacentral:lncRNA from 1 species
GUUUGGGUUGGAGGAUAGGGGAUGGCAAGCGACUACAUAGGGUGAUGCUUGGGUCCCUGGCAAUGAAAAUUUCAAAUUUCAGAACAUGGUUUCUAUUUUGAGCCUAAAUAAAGUUGCAGACUUGAUUGAUUUCAACACAAGAAAAUGGAAAGUUGAGAUGAUUCGAAAUACCCUUCCAGAGGAGGAAGCUGCGAGAAUUUUAUGCAUUCCUUUGUCUAUGAAUCCGCAUGAAGACCAUAUCAUCUGGCGUGGUGAGCCAAUAGGGGAGUAUUCUGUACGUAGUGGGCAUAAAUUUCUCUUACAAGAUGAAUAAACCCAAAGAUAACAAAGCUAUAGAAUAUUUUACCAAAAAAAAUUGUGGAACCUAGAUCUACCUCUUAAGAUUAAAAUUACAAACCGGACAAUCUUCUGUAACUAUCUGCCUAUUUUUAGCAACCUACACUAUAGACGAAUGCUAGGAUCCGCUACUUGCCGAAGAUGCCAAAAUGGAGUAGAGAAUAGGAAGCAUUUGUUUGGGGAAUUCCCUACACCAAAGGAGACAUGGGAGAAACUAAAUGUUACUUGGCCUAUAACAGAUGCUAAUAUUGAGUACAAAGAUUGGAUUAAAAACAUAUUUGAUUCAAAUUUCUUGUUUAAGUGGCAGAUUGAUAGCAUGUGCAAUGUGGGCGAUAUGGACGACGAGAAACAAGUUUACUCACGAGGGUGAGCAAAAAACAGGUUCUCAAUUAGUGGAUUUCGUGUUCAGUUACCUUAAGGAAAUUGAUGGGUUGAAUAAUCACUUACCAGGGAGUGGGCUCAUCAUGGGCAGAUAGACAACUCCGACUGGUUCAACGGUUAAAAUCAAUUUCGACACUGCAUUUAAUAGGCAAAGGAAAGAGUCUUGCUUUAGGUUAGUGGUUUGAAACGAAAAAAAAAAAGGUUAUUUGUUCAAAAACAGUCAUGCAUGAGAAUAUACCGUCUAUUUUUGCGAUAGAAGCGAUGGCGUGUCUCCAGGCGAUCCAUCUAGGUUUAAAUUUGGGACUGAGGGCGAUUGAAAUAGAAGGAGAUGCACAUACGAUGAUUUGUAAACUGCAAGCUAAGGAAGUUUUUAUCAACGAUUCAAAGCAACUAUGUUCAAGUUUCGGGUCUUAUGUUUUUCGAUUUACCUAUAGAGAAUCAAACAAGGUUGGUCAUAUUCUAGCUACAGAGGGACUGAAAAGGAGAGAAACAACUUAUCUGAUGAAUGACGUUCCUUAUUUCACGGCGAAAGAGGUGGAUGCAGAUAGGCGAUGGACAGAAUCCAUGAAUGCUUAAAGGUGCUGAAGAGCUAAAGAGAAACUGAAUCGGGAAUAAAAGGAAAGAUGGGGAGAUGGCAAACCGAUGCAUAAUGAAGACAUUUUUUGUUUUCUGAUGAAGGAAAUAAUGGCAAGUAAUUAUGAUGAAGACUGUCCUUACAAUUUCCCUAUGACUUUUUGUUGCUUUUCAGGAGCGGGGGAAUUUUUUGAUAACAGCUAGGUUAGAGGAAGGUUCUAAAGCAACCCUUUGGAUCCAGUUUUUUCUUCUUUUACUUUUGGGUCAUUU